rnacentral:rRNA from 1 species
GCGGAGGAAAAGAAAAUAACUAUGAUUCCCUCAGUAAGGGCGACUGAAGCGGGAAGAGCUCAUUCUGUGAAUCUGAAUACUAUUUUGGUAUUCCGAAUUGUGAAUUUAAGAAGCACAUCAGCGAGAGUUCUGGUCUAAGUCUCUUGGAAAAGAGCAGCUGAGAGGGUGACACUCCCGUAUUUUGGCUAGAACUCAAACUUUAGCAUGUGGUUUCGACGAGUCGAGUUGCUUGGGAUUGCAGCUCAAAGUUGGUGGUAAAUUCCAUCUAAAGCUAAAUAUUGGAAAAUGACCGAUAGCGUACAAGUACCGUGAGGGAAAGAUGCAAAGAACUUUGAAAAAAGAGUUAAAGAGUACCUGAAAUUGCUGAAAUGGAAGCAAACGGAUCCAGUGCCAUGCCUUAUCAUUUUUCUGUUCUUGCUUGCGAGAAUAGCGCUGUGAUCUGGUGUAGGUCAACAUGGGUUUGAACCGAAGGAAGCAGCUAUUUAGGAGGCAGCACAAUUUCUGUGCGAUUACUAUUUAGCUAUGCUUUGGUUCAGACCGAGGAUAGUCACUUUGUGCUUCGUGAUGUUGACAAAAUGGAUCUGUUUACCCCGUCUUGAAACACGGACCAAGGAGUCUAAGAUGUUUGCGAGUAUAUGAGUGGUAAACUCACGUGCGAAAUGAAAGUAACAGUGGUAAUAUCCUUUGGAAAAUUAUCCGCCGGCCACAAUCCUUCGGGAGAAAGGUCUGAGUGUGAGCAUAUAUCUUGGGACCCGAAAGAUGGUGAACUAUGCCUGAAUAGGGUGAAGCCGCGG